rnacentral:rRNA from 1 species
CCUACGGGAGGCAGCAGUGGGGAAUAUUGCGCAAUGGGGGGAACCCUGACGCAGCAACGCCGCGUGCAGGAAGAAGGUCUUCGGAUUGUAAACUGUUGUCGCAGGGGAAGAAGACAGUGACGGUACCCUGUGAGAAAGUCACGGCUAACUACGUGCCAGCAGCCGCGGUAAUACGUAGGUGACAAGCGUUGUCCGGAUUUACUGGGUGUAAAGGGCGCGUAGGCGGAUGUGCAAGUCAGUCGUGAAAUACCGGGGCUCAACCCCGGGGCUGCGAUUGAAACUGCACACCUUGAGUAUCGGAGAGG